ACGGAAUUAUCCAAGUUGGCCUUUUGUGCGAAAACAUUACUCAAUUUUCGUGCUCUAAAUUUAGUUUUAGUAUUAAAAAUUUGUGUGUUCGGGUAACAUGUCGUUGGAAAUGUUGGAAAUUUGUGGCUGUAUUUGUUUCGAAAUUUGUAUUUGGUAGAUUUCGUAGUUCUGCGGCUGUAUUGGCUGCCCAGCACACAGCGGGGCAGUGUGGGGAACACGGAAAUCAGAGGAGCAACACUCACCGGCAGUGGCACCGAUGUGUUCACAGAGCUGUUGAUUUGCCAACAAUCGCUGCUUGCGCCAAGAGGAUCAGGUUCAGGCAUUCCAAUGCCAGUGGAUUCGACACUCGGCAGGCAUAGUGGUCUACAGCACUGCUCCCAUAUAUCCGACACAACGAUAAUACUAGAUUGCGGAGGCGGACAGCGGCAUCAUGGGGCCAGACAUGGAGCCGUUGCACGUGCCACAGCCUAAAUACGAGUGGGUGUAAGAGCAUGUCUGAAGUCACAUAAAAUACUAUAUAUACAAAUAAUUAUAUAUUUUGACAAUAAAAGUGCUGCUAUAGCUGAGCAAAAAAAAUCCA